rnacentral:misc_RNA from 1 species
AAUCAUCCCAUUUUAAUAAAAAAUGCUAGAAAUUAUUCAAACAUGAUAAAUCAUGAUAAAAUGAUUUAAAACUUAUAACCACCAAAAAAGUGUUUAGCAUGGUGUGGACCAUUGGCCUUGAGCUUGAGAAUUUUGCUUUGUUAUAGAGUGAAAGUCAAGCUAAAUCUCUUCAGGGAUUUAGUAUGUGAACUGUGAAGAAGGCUAAAGCAAAAAAAGAAGCCAUACUAGAGGAUCAUUAUUGGAGAAGAAAGCUGGACCAAUACUCAAAUGAUCAAAUCCUCAUCAGCUCAUUGAUUUCGCAGUAGCUCUAGCUAGUGCAAACUUGGAAUGGAAUAAUAAAUUUAAAAAACAAAUAAGGGUUAUGACAAGGGUCAUCAAAGCAAGUCAGUGAGACUCUUAGUUAGUUUAUCUCACCUGUCUGUAUUGAGAGUCAUACUGAUUCUUACCAUAUCCAUUCAUUGCUCCAUUCGUACAAGCCACUGCUUCUUCUUCUUCUUCUUCUU